GGGCCCGUAGCUCAGCCUGGAUAGAGCGGCAGCCCCCUAGGCUAGAGGUCCGGGGUUCAAAUCCCCGCGGGCCCGCCA
rnacentral:tRNA from 1 species